UCUCCGUUGGUGAACCAGCGGAGGGAUCAUUACCGAGUUUACAACUCCCAAACCCAAUGUGAACCAUACCAAACUGUUGCCUCGGCGGGGUCACGCCCCGGGUGCGUCGCAGCCCCGGAACCAGGCGCCCGCCGGAGGGACCAACCAAACUCUUUCAGUAUUCCCCUCGCGGACGUUAUUUUUACAGCUCUGAGCAAAAAUUCAAAAUGAAUCAAAACUUUCAACAACGGAUCUCUUGGUUCUG
rnacentral:misc_RNA from 1 species